rnacentral:rRNA from 1 species
UACAGAGGUCUCAAGCGUUGUUCGGAUUCAUUGGGCGUAAAGGGUGCGUAGGUGGCAGGGUAAGUCGGAUGUGAAAUCCCGGGGCUCAACCUCGGAACUGCAUUCGAUACUGCUUUGCUUGAGUACUGGAGAGGAGAUUGGAAUUUACGGUGUAGCAGUGAAAUUCGUAGAUAUUUCGCAAGAACACCAGUGGCGAAGGCGGCUCACUGGCCCGGUACUGACGCUGAGGUGCGAAAGCGUGGGGAGCGAACGGG